rnacentral:rRNA from 1 species
UUAAUUUGAGAGUUUGAUCCUGGCUCAGGACGAACGCUGGCGGCGUGCCUAAUACAUGCAAGUCGAACGAACUCUGGUAUUGAUUGGUGCUUGCAUCAUGAUUUACAUUUGAGUGAGUGGCGAACUGGUGAGUAACACGUGGGAAACCUGCCCAGAAGCGGGGGAUAACACCUGGAAACAGAUGCUAAUACCGCAUAACAACUUGGACCGCAUGGUCCGAGCUUGAAAGAUGGCUUCGGCUAUCACUUUUGGAUGGUCCCGCGGCGUAUUAGCUAGAUGGUGGGGUAACGGCUCACCAUGGCAAUGAUACGUAGCCGACCUGAGAGGGUAAUCGGCCACAUUGGGACUGAGACACGGCCCAAACUCCUACGGGAGGCAGCAGUAGGGAAUCUUCCACAAUGGACGAAAGUCUGAUGGAGCAACGCCGCGUGAGUGAAGAAGGGUUUCGGCUCGUAAAACUCUGUUGUUAAAGAAGAACAUAUCUGAGAGUAACUGUUCAGGUAUUGACGGUAUUUAACCAGAAAGCCACGGCUAACUACGUGCCAGCAGCCGCGGUAAUACGUAGGUGGCAAGCGUUGUCCGGAUUUAUUGGGCGUAAAGCGAGCGCAGGCGGUUUUUUUAAGUCUGAUGUGAAAGCCUUCGGCUCAACCGAAGAAGUGCAUCGGAAACUGGGAAACUUGAGUGCAGAAGAGGACAGUGGAACUCCAUGUGUAGCGGUGAAAUGCGUAGAUAUAUGGAAGAACACCAGUGGCGAAGGCGGCUGUCUGGUCUGUAACUGACGCUGAGGCUCGAAAGUAUGGGUAGCAAACAGGAUUAGAUACCCUGGUAGUCCAUACCGUAAACGAUGAAUGCUAAGUGUUGGAGGGUUUCCGCCCUUCAGUGCUGCAGCUAACGCAUUAAGCAUUCCGCCUGGGGAGUACGGCCGCAAGGCUGAAACUCAAAGGAAUUGACGGGGGGCCCGCACAAGCGGUGGAGCAUGUGGUUUAAUUCGAAGCUACGCGAAGAACCUUACCAGGUCUUGACAUACUAUGCAAAUCUAAGAGAUUAGACGUUCCCUUCGGGGACAUGGAUACAGGUGGUGCAUGGUUGUCGUCAGCUCGUGUCGUGAGAUGUUGGGUUAAGUCCCGCAACGAGCGCAACCCUUAUUAUCAGUUGCCAGCAUUAAGUUGGGCACUCUGGUGAGACUGCCGGUGACAAACCGGAGGAAGGUGGGGAUGACGUCAAAUCAUCAUGCCCCUUAUGACCUGGGCUACACACGUGCUACAAUGGAUGGUACAACGAGUUGCGAACUCGCGAGAGUAAGCUAAUCUCUUAAAGCCAUUCUCAGUUCGGAUUGUAGGCUGCAACUCGCCUACAUGAAGUCGGAAUCGCUAGUAAUCGCGGAUCAGCAUGCCGCGGUGAAUACGUUCCCGGGCCUUGUACACACCGCCCGUCACACCAUGAGAGUUUGUAACACCCAAAGUCGGUGGGGUAACCUUUUAGGAACCAGCCGCCUAAGGUGGGACAGAUGAUUAGGGUGAAGUCGUAACAAGGUAGCCGUAGGAGAACCUGCGGCUGGAUCACCUCCUUUCUAAGGAA